ACUCAAAUGAAUAGACGGGGACUCGCACAAGUGGUGGAUUAUGUGGCUUAAUUCGUCGGUAAACGAAGAACCUUACCAAGGUUAGAAAUCCAGCUGCAUCUCGACCGAAAGGACGGGAGCCUUCGAGGGUGCUGGACAGGUGAUGCAUGGUCGUCGUCAGUUCGUGGUUUGAACUGUUCCCUUCAGUGGGGUAACGAACGCAACCCCCGUUGUCUGUUGUCUACGGACCAGGCGAGACUGCUCCCUCACGGGAGAGGAAGGUGGGGAUGACGCCAGAUCAGCAUGUCCCUCUGAUACCUUGGGCUGCACACAUAAUACAAUGGUCGGUACAACAGGAUGCAAUGCCGCAAGGUGGAGCUAAUCCAAAAAACCGUCCUCAGUACGGAUCGAGGUCUGCAACCGACCUCGUGAAGCUGGAAUCACUAGUAAUGGCAGGUCAGCUAAACUGCCGUGAAUACGUUCUCGAGUCUUGUACACACCGCCCGU
rnacentral:rRNA from 1 species